rnacentral:rRNA from 1 species
UACGGGGGGGGCAAGCGUUGUUCGGAAUUACUGGGCGUAAAGGGCGCGCAGGCGGUCCUUCAAGUCAGAUGUGAAAGCCCCGGGCUCAACCUGGGAACUGCAUUUGAGACUGGAGGACUUGAGGACGGGAGAGGAGAGUGGAAUUCCCAGUGUAGAGGUGAAAUUCGUAGAUAUUGGGAAGAACACCGAUGGCGAAGGCAGCUCUCUGGACCGUUACUGACGCUGAGGCGCGAAAGCGUGGGGAGCAAACAGG